CCUACGGGGUGCUGCAGUAGGGAAUAUUGCUCAAUGGGGGAAACCCUGAAGCAGCAACGCCGCGUGGAGGAUGAAGGUUUUCGGAUUGUAAACUCCUUUUGUUAGAGAAGAUAAUGACGGUAUCUAACGAAUAAGCACCGGCUAACUCCGUGCCAGCAGCCGCGGUAAUACGGAGGGUGCAAGCGUUACUCGGAAUCACUGUGCGUAAGGAGCGCGUAGGCGGGAUAGCAAGUCAGAUGUGAAAUCCUAUGGCUUAACCAUAGAACUGCAUUUGAAACUGUUAUUCUAGAGUAUGGGAGAGGUAGGUGGAAUUCUUGGUGUAGGGGUAAAAUCCGUAGAGAUCAAGAGGAAUACUCAUUGCGAAGGCGACCUGCUAGAACAUAACUGACGCUGAUGCGCGAAAGCGUGGGGAGCAAACAGGAUUAGAUACCCGAGUAGUC
rnacentral:rRNA from 1 species